AUAGUUUCACUUAAUAAUUUAUAUGCUUUUAAUAGCUUACAUAAUACAAAUUACAAACUAAUAUUUUUCAGGUAGAAAAAAAAACAUACCUUGUUCUUGUUUGAAAACAAAAAAAACGUUUUUGGACCAGAAAUGGAAAGAAUGCGAUUGUAUAGAAAGUAUGAUAAUUGAAGUGAAGUGUGUGUAAACUGAUAACGUACUUCUUUUAUUUAUAGACUAGAGUUUUUUUAUUUUCUGUUGUAUUAAAAAAAAAAAUUAAAAUGUCACAAACCACAUAAAUCACUCCUUUUGUACGCAAAGUGCGGUACUGGAUGGAUAGGGUGCGGUUAAUAUCUGACAACAUCACAUGCUAUGCUAUCUUAUUUUUUUACUAUUUUAAUUUCAGAAACACACAAAACAAGAAAAAUAAAGUGAAUGGUGUCACUUUCUCUCCCGUCCCUUUCUGUUUAUGGGACCACAAUUAUCACUCAAGGCCUCAUUAGUGUGGAAACACGGAGGGACGUGAUUGAAGCUUAGGUCCGUGUCAUGCAUGACGAUGUGCGAUCCGAGCGUACUUGUUUUUAGAGGCAGCCGUAUAUGUUUGGUUAGACUACCGAACUUAAGACUUAGACGUUUUUUCACUGUGUUCUUUUUUUAUUGAUGACGAAUCUCUAUACGAUUUUUUGUGUAAAUUUUAUUAUUGUCGCAAUCAAUAAAACGCCAAGUGGAAUUUUAUAUUAUUUACUGUUUUUUUCAUUUUCAUGUAAAUAGAGAAUCCGGAUCUAAGACAUAAAUCCUCAACUGAAAGAGCGAAAGCUCUCUCUCUCUCUCUCUCUCUUCUCUCCUCAAAAUCUUUCAGAGAGGGAGUCUUUUCGUGUUUGGCCGGAAACUCUUUGGCCCUUUGAUUCCCGAUAGUUGGGCUCUGACUCUGGCAAGCGGUGGAUUUCACAGCAUCGUCUUGGCCGGCUCAUCUUCUAGUUACUCAUCAUCUUUCUAGAUGUUGUUUUAGCUAGGGUUGUUUUCAUCUUUGAUCUUACUUAUAUCUUUAAAGAUGAUUCGUUGUGAAAAUGGAGUAUCUGAUGAUUUAUCCGGUAAGCUUGCGACUGAUUUCUUCGCUGAAGCAUUGGUCUGUUGAAAUCCCAAUACUUUAAUUCUGCUCAAGUUGUUGGCGGCGGUGACUUUCCUUAUGUCCUGUUUCCGGUGUGUUCCGGUAGACUCCGGUUAGAAUUCCGGCGACGACUUGCAUGCCGGUGAAGACUGGUGUGUCCCUGUUCAUCUUCCACUUGCCCAUAAUCUCUAUAGCGGCUACACAUGAUGAUAACAUGUUAGGGUUCUCACAGUUUUCCCUUUGGGCUUUUUUUAUCGUGGGCCAGUUGUUUGGGCCUUUCUUUGUUUUCUUGUAAACUUUCUAUUUUGAGUUUUGUUAAUAAUAUCAGAUGUCAAAAAAAAAAAAAAGAAUCUGGAUCUCAAAAAUAAAUAUUUCUUUUUCUUAGAAA